AUGUUCAGCAACAGGGCCUUAAGGAUUUUGAAAAUAAUCCUCCGCUCCGAGCACUCAGCCCGCGAUCGUCUCGGGCGGCUGUGCCCCCGCCCCCUGCACACAGGCCACCAGCCCCUGACCGCCAACUUCCGCGACACUCGGGGGGACAUGCCCGCCCCGCGCCCCGAAACGCCGCUGCGACGGCCACCGCCAGCCUCCGGCCCGGAGGGUCGCCCGGCCCCGGGAUGCCCCUCGGGGCGGCGGGUGUCAAGCAUGCAAGGUGGGGGCGGGCGGGACACCGGCCCGGGGAGGAAGGCGGCUCCCCGGCCUCGGGCCCGCCGCCCCCCAGCCCCUUGCCGGGCCCCGGCCGCGCGGCGCCCAGGCCCGCCCGACCCCGCCGCCCGCGCGCCCGCCCGCCCGAGCCCAGGCCGCGCGGCGCCGCCACAACAAUGGCGAGCGGGCCGGGGCCGCCCUCCGCCCGCCGCGCAGGCCGCCGCGCCCGGCCCUGCAGCCCUCGCCAGGGCGGGCGGCCCAACGGCGGCGGGGCGGGGGCGGGCCGAGGCCGGCGCUCGCGGACAAAGGUCGGCCGGGCCCGGGCUCGCCGCUGUCAGUCAGCCGCCGCCGAGACAAAGCCGGCCCGGCCGCGCCGCCUCCAUCUUAGCGCCGCGCCGCCCCGCGCCCGGCCCCGCGCCGCCCCGCGCCCCGGCCCACCUGGUCUGGUUCCGCGGGCGCGACUGGGCCGGGCGAUGGCGGUCGGGCGGCGGUCGGGCGCGGAAGCGGCGGGAUGGCGGCGGAUUGCGCGGCGGCGGCGCGGUGCUCGCUCGCUCGCUCCCUCCCUCCCUCUCUCCCUCCUGGGCUCGCUCGUCGCUCGCUCGCUGGAGCCUCGGAGCCUGUGUCUCGCCGCUCGCCUCCCUCGCGCGCGCGGCUCCCCGCCCCCCGCCUGCCGCCGCCCCCGCCUCCUCCGGCCUCCUCCUCGCGCCGCCGCCGCCGCCGCCCGCAGCCGCGCCUCGGCCCGCGCAGCGCCCCCUGCCGUGCCUCCCGGGCCGAGAGAGGGGCGCCGGGGGCCCGGGGAGGGGGAGGGGCGAGACAGGGGCGCCGGGGGCCCGGGGAGGGGUACGAGGAGGGGCCGGGGUCCCCGGGAGGGGGAGGGGCCGCGGAGAGGAGAGGGAGGGGUACGAGGAGGAGGCUGGGGUCCCGGGGAGGGGGAGGGGCCGCGGAGAAGAGGGGGAAGGGGUGCGAGAGAGGGGGCUGGGGUCCCGGGGAGGGGAGGGGCCGCGGAGAAGAGGGGAAGGGGUGCGAGAGGGGGGGGCUGGGGUUCCGGGGAGGGGGAGGGGCCAGGGAGAGGCGGGGGACUAG
rnacentral:lncRNA from 1 species